rnacentral:rRNA from 1 species
ACGGAGGGCGCAAGCGUUGUCCGGAUUCAUUGGGUUUAAAGGGUGCGUAGGCGGGCGAUUAAGUCAGUGGUGAAAUCCUCCGGCUCAACCGGAGUCGUGCCAUUGAUACUGGUUGUCUUGAGUACAGAUGAGGUGGGUGGAAUUUACGGUGUAGCGGUGAAAUGCAUAGAUACCGUAAGGAACUCCGAUAGCGAAGGCAGCUCACUAAACUGGAACUGACGCUGAGGCACGAAAGCAUGGGGAUCGAACAGGA